GCGGAAAUAGCUCAGUUGGUAGAGCGCAACCUUGCCAAGGUUGAGGUCGCGGGUCCGAGCCCCGUUUUCCGCU
rfam:Bacteroides sp. CAG:1060 genomic scaffold, scf137